rnacentral:rRNA from 1 species
AAUGAACGUUGGCGGCAUGGAUUAGGCAUGCAAGUCGUACGCUUCGUGUAGCAAUACAUGAGGAGUGGCGAAAGGGAGAGGAAUACGUGGGAACCUACCUUGGUGCCUGGAAUAGCGGCGGGAAACUGCCGGUAAUGCCAGAUAAUGUCUCCGGACCAAAGGUGUGAUUCCGCCUGGAGCUGGGCCCACGUCCUAUCAGCGUGUUGGUGUGGUAAUGGCGCACCAAGGCGAAGACGGGUAUGGGGUUUGAGAGCAUGCCACCACUCACUGGGACUGAGACACUGCCCAGACACCUACGGGUGGCUGCAGUCGAGAAUCUUCGGCAAUGAGCGCAAGCUUGACCGAGCGAUGCCGCGUGCGGGAUGAAGGCCUUCGGGUUGUAAACCGCUGUCGUAGGGGAAUAAUGGUAGUGGGGUUCUCCCCACUAUUUGAAUGAUCCUAGGAGGAAGGACGGGCUAAGUUCGUGCCAGCAGCCGCCGUAAUAC